rnacentral:rRNA from 1 species
UGGGGAAUCAUGGUCAAUGGGCGAAAGCCUGAACCUGCGACGCCGCGUGAGUGAUGAAGGUCGUAAGAUCGUAAAACUCUUUUCAGGGAUCUUAAAGCCUGUCUGUCAACAACAGGCAGGUCUGACUCUCCCUGGAAGAAGCCCCAGCCAACUACGUGCCAGCAGCUGCCGUAAUACGUAGGGGGCGAGCGUUAUUCGGAAUUACUGGGUGUAUAGGGUAUGUAGGCGGCCCUUCAAGUCGCGUGUCAAAGUCAAGUGCUCAACGCUGGGUGUGCACGCGAUACUGACGGGCUUGAGGGCUGGAGAGGUGAGCGGAAUUCCCGGUGUAGUGGUAAAAUACGUAGAGAUCGGGAGGAACACCAGCGGCGCAGGCGGCUCACUAGACAGUUUCUGACGCUAAGAUACGAAAGCGUGGGGAGCAAACA